GAUGAACGCUGGCGGCGUGCCUAAUACAUGCAAGUCGAGCGAACGGACGAUAAGCUUGCUUAUUUGACGUUAGCGGCGGACGGGUGAGUAACACGUGUAUAACCUACCUAUAAGACUGGUAUAACUUCGGGAAACCGGAGCUAAUACCGGAUAAUAUUUUGAACCGCAUGGUUCAAUAGUGAAAGACGGUCUUGCUGGCAGUUGUAGAUGGAUCCGCGCUGCAUUAGCUUGUUGGGGGGGUAACGGCUUACCAAGGCAAUGACGCAUAGCCGGCCUGAGAGGGUGACCGGCCACAGUGGGACUGAGAUACGGCCCAGACUCCUACGGGAGGCAGCAGUGGGGAAUAUUGCACAAUGGGCGGAAGCCUGAUGCAGCAACGCCGCGUGCGGGAUGACGGCCUUCGGGUUGUAAACCGCUUUCGCCUGUGACGAAGCGUGAGUGACGGUAAUGGGUAAAGAAGCAACGGCUAACUACGUG
rnacentral:rRNA from 1 species